UUUUCAUAAUGUUUUGAUAGGAGCAAAACAAUAACAAACCAAAGAGCCGACCAUGCCGAAAGAUACAACACAGUUGUGUGUGGGUGUGGAAGUGAGUCUUUGAUGUGCACUCACUCACCCAAGUUGUUGUGGGGGCGGGAGGGCGCGCGGAUGAGUAAUAUGUGUGUGUGUGUGUAACAUGCAUUGUGCAGAAUAUCGAAGACGAACCUCAAACACGAACAUGUUGUCUCGUCCAUACAUUCAGCACAAAAAGGCUAUGUGGAGCCGACCACAACAACAAUGUCAUGUCAAAGCAGAAAAAGUGGAAAAGAAGCGGCAAAACAGCAACAACAAAGCCAUUGGUUGUUGGCAAAGAAUGAAUGGAUGAAUGAAAUGUGUGCUGAACUGUUUGACUAACUGACUGACUGUUUGGUAGCUUGCUGGACUAGAGUGUUGUUGUGAUGAUGAUUGGUGUUUUGUAUUUCUUGAUUUUUUGUGCAGAUUCUUUUGUUUUUCUGCCAUGCUUUAAGCGUUUUUGAGUUUGUGGCGCGCGCGGGUGUCCCUGUGUGUGCAUGCGUAUGAGAAUGUUUUAGUGUGAAAGGUUUGACAUGGAAAUGCCACACAACAGCAACAAAUCGCAAAAUUCAGUCUUACCAAAGCAACGCGUGCGAUAACAACGAGACAAGCGACAAACGGCUCUUCUAUUCUCUUUCGCCAAACACUAGACCGCAAUCAAAACUUCAAAAUCCCUAAACUUAACUACUAUUUCUUAAACGUUCUCUUCCUCUUCUACGCCUCGCCAUCGUUCGUAAAUUAGAACUAAGCUAUUGCUACACAAAACAAAAACAACAAGAAGCAUAAUAGACACCCCAACAUCGUUCGUAUAUGGUGUGUGGUGCGUGUGUGUGUCCUCUCCCCAUAAAACGGAUCUCUUUCUUCACUCAAUCGUUGUCUUCAAUGAACCAACAUAAAUGUGAACUCUCUGCGACUACCCACCAUUUCGUGUUAUCUCACCACCCUACAACCCGCCGCCCUUAAUGUGUGUGCGUGAGUGAGGGUAUUUGUGCAAACAUUUCGUAUGUUUACAUUAAAACAAGAAACAAUUUAAAAAAGUUAAAAGUUACUGUUAACAAGAAGCUAAAAACAAAAAUAAAGAAAAAGAAGUGGCCCUGAUUUACAAAGUUCUGAACUACCCCACAUCCACUUCCACAAACCCAGUAUUGCCACACCAUACUCUCUAAAGACUUAUACUUCCAACUAUUCGAAAAAUCACACAAAAGCUUCAUUUCUGUAAGAGUGGUCUUGGUCACUUCGUCAAAUAGCGUCCAGACAGUAAAAUUGAAAAAAAAA
rnacentral:sRNA from 1 species